rnacentral:tRNA from 1 species
AAGCCUAUAACUUAGCCGGUAGAGUACUCGUUUGAUACACGAGGUGGAAGGGUUCAACCCCCUUUAGGCGAA